rnacentral:rRNA from 1 species
UACGUAGGGUGCAAGCGUUAAUCGGAAUUACUGGGCGUAAAGCGUGCGCAGGCGGUUAUGUAAGACAGAUGUGAAAUCCCCGGGCUUAACCUGGGAACUGCAUUUGUGACUGCAUAGCUAGAGUACGGUAGAGGGGGAUGGAAUUCCGCGUGUAGCAGUGAAAUGCGUAGAUAUGCGGAGGAACACCGAUGGCGAAGGCAAUCCCCUGGACCUGUACUGACGCUCAUGCACGAAAGCGUGGGGAGCAAACAGG